AGUGAACGCUGGCGGUAGGCCUAACACAUGCAAGUCGAACGGCAGCACAGUAAGAGCUUGCUCUUACGGGUGGCGAGUGGCGGACGGGUGAGGAAUACAUCGGAAUCUACUUUUUCGUGGGGGAUAACGUAGGGAAACUUACGCUAAUACCGCAUACGACCUACGGGUGAAAGCAGGGGAUCUUCGGACCUUGCGCGAUUGAAUGAGCCGAUGUCGGAUUAGCUAGUUGGCGGGGUAAAGGCCCACCAAGGCGACGAUCCGUCGCUGGUCUGAGAGGAUGAUCAGCACAACAUGAAAUGGGGCACGGCCCAGGAUCCUAGGGGAGGCAGCAGUGGGGAAUAUUGGACAAGGGGCGCAAGCCUGUACCAGCCAUACCGGGGGGGUGAAGAAGGCCUUCGGGUUUUAAAGCCCUUUUUUUGGGAAAAAAAAGCAGCAGGUUAAGACCCCGCUGUUUUGACGGUACCAAAAAAAUAAGCACCGGCAAACUUCGG
rnacentral:rRNA from 1 species